rnacentral:sRNA from 1 species
GUCUAUUUCACCUUAUCAUUCUCAUACUAAUAUUUCACAAAUGCACUGCAUUCAGUUCCGGGUAAUAUAUAUUGUCAGUAACUAAUCUGAUUUCUACGUGGUCAUUGAGGAACAAGAAUAUGGUGGGUAAAGAUAAAACAUCAUGGUUGAAAUGGAUACAGGGCCCACAGGACUAUAACUUUUCUGACCUGAAUUCCCAGUCUCUAAAUGAAAGGUUUACAUCAAAAUUAUUUACUUGUCUUUUAGGGACUUGUGUUGGUGAAUGCAUUGAGUCAUGAAUAUAUGUAUUUUAUUAUCAUUUUUAUAUGUUAUGUAUCAAAUGAAACCAAACAUUGUUUUCCAUCACUUGAACUUGAAUUUAUAUAAGCAUUGUUUUUACUUGAACCGGGUAUAUUUCCAGUUAGUAUUGUAUAUCUAAAUUAAUUUUUUAUAAAUACUGAAUUGAAUGUAAACAAUAAAAAUUGAUACAAAUAUCUGUACAAUUUAUUUGGGCACAGUAAUGGAGUUAAAUGCAGUGUGUUUUCUUUUAUACAAUCGAUGAAUAUAUGAAGAUAUUGAAAUAAAUAUUGAUCC